rnacentral:rRNA from 2 species
GGGUUGUGAGGUUAAGCGACUAAGCGUACACGGUGGAUGCCCUGGCAGUCAGAGGCGAUGAAGGGCGUGCUAAUCUGCGAUAAGCGCCGGUAAGGUGAUAUGAACCGUUAUAACCGGCGAUACCCGAAUGGGGAAACCCAGUGUGACUCGUCACACUAUCAUUAACUGAAUCCAUAGGUUAAUGAGGCGAACCGGGGGAACUGAAACAUCUAAGUACCCCGAGGAAAAGAAAUCAACCGAGAUUCCCCCAGUAGCGGCGAGCGAACGGGGAGGAGCCCAGAGCCUGAAUCAGCAUGUGUGUUAGUGGAAGCGUCUGGAAAGGCGCGCGAUACAGGGUGACAGCCCCGUACACAAAAGCGCAUAUGCUGUGAGCUCGAUGAGUAGGGCGGGACACGUGGUAUCCUGUCUGAAUAUGGGGGGACCAUCCUCCAAGGCUAAAUACUCCUGACUGACCGAUAGUGAACCAGUACCGUGAGGGAAAGGCGAAAAGAACCCCGGCGAGGGGAGUGAAAAAGAACCUGAAACCGUGUACGUACAAGCAGUGGGAGCCCCACCACUAAGCCAGUGGUGAACUCCACAUACGCAUCCUUUGCUGAGGAUACGGUUAACGGAGCGAAAGCGACGUUCAACCGCAAAAGAAGCAGAGGGGGCUUAGUGGUGGGGUGACUGCGUACCUUUUGUAUAAUGGGUCAGCGACUUAUAUUCUGUAGCAAGGUUAACCGAAUAGGGGAGCCGGAGGGAAACCGAGUCUUAAUUGGGCGUUAAGUUGCAGGGUAUAGACCCGAAACCCGGUGAUCUAGCCAUGGGCAGGUUGAAGGUUGGGUAACACUAACUGGAGGACCGAACCGACUAAUGUUGAAAAAUUAGCGGAUGACCUGUGGCUGGGGGUGAAAGGCCAAUCAAACCGGGAGAUAGCUGGUUCUCCCCGAAAGCUAUUUAGGUAGCGCCUCGUGAAUUCAUCUCCGGGGGUAGAGCACUGUUUCGGCUAGGGGGCCAUCCCGGCUUACCAACCCGAUGCAAACUGCGAAUACCGGAGAAUGUUAUCACGGGAGACACACGGCGGGUGCUAACGUCCGUCGUGAAGAGGGAAACAACCCAGACCGCCAGCUAAGGUCCCAAAGUCAUGGUUAAGUGGGAAACGAUGUGGGAAGGCCCAGACAGCCAGGAUGUUGGCUUAGAAGCAGCCAUCAUUUAAAGAAAGCGUAAUAGCUCACUGGUCGAGUCGGCCUGCGCGGAAGAUGUAACGGGGCUAAACCAUGCACCGAAGCUGCGGCAGCGACGCUGAUGCGUUGUUGGGUAGGGGAGCGUUCUGUAAGCCUGCGAAGGUGGCCUGUGAGGGUUGCUGGAGGUAUCAGAAGUGCGAAUGCUGACAUAAGUAACGAUAAAGCGGGUGAAAAGCCCGCUCGCCGGAAGACCAAGGGUUCCUGUCCAACGUUAAUCGGGGCAGGGUGAGUCGACCCCUAAGGCGAGGCCGAAAGGCGUAGUCGAUGGGAAACGGGUUAAUAUUCCCGUACUUGGUGUUACUGCGAAGGGGGGACGGAGAAGGCUAUGUUGGCCGGGCGACGGUUGUCCCGGUUUAAGCGUGUAGGUGUGUGUUCCAGGUAAAUCCGGUUCACUUUAACACUGAGGCGUGAUGACGAGGCACUACGGUGCUGAAGCAACAAAUGCCCUGCUUCCAGGAAAAGCCUCUAAGCAUCAGGUAACAUCAAAUCGUACCCCAAACCGACACAGGUGGUCAGGUAGAGAAUACCAAGGCGCUUGAGAGAACUCGGGUGAAGGAACUAGGCAAAAUGGUGCCGUAACUUCGGGAGAAGGCACGCUGACACGUAGGUGAAGUGAUUUACUCAUGGAGCUGAAGUCAGUCGAAGAUACCAGCUGGCUGCAACUGUUUAUUAAAAACACAGCACUGUGCAAACACGAAAGUGGACGUAUACGGUGUGACGCCUGCCCGGUGCCGGAAGGUUAAUUGAUGGGGUCAGCGCAAGCGAAGCUCCUGAUCGAAGCCCCGGUAAACGGCGGCCGUAACUAUAACGGUCCUAAGGUAGCGAAAUUCCUUGUCGGGUAAGUUCCGACCUGCACGAAUGGCGUAAUGAUGGCCAGGCUGUCUCCACCCGAGACUCAGUGAAAUUGAACUCGCUGUGAAGAUGCAGUGUACCCGCGGCAAGACGGAAAGACCCCGUGAACCUUUACUAUAGCUUGACACUGAACAUUGAGCCUUGAUGUGUAGGAUAGGUGGGAGGCUUUGAAGUGUGGACGCCAGUCUGCAUGGAGCCGACCUUGAAAUACCACCCUUUAAUGUUUGAUGUUCUAACGUGGACCCGUGAUCCGGGUUGCGGACAGUGUCUGGUGGGUAGUUUGACUGGGGCGGUCUCCUCCUAAAGAGUAACGGAGGAGCACGAAGGUUGGCUAAUCCUGGUCGGACAUCAGGAGGUUAGUGCAAUGGCAUAAGCCAGCUUGACUGCGAGCGUGACGGCGCGAGCAGGUGCGAAAGCAGGUCAUAGUGAUCCGGUGGUUCUGAAUGGAAGGGCCAUCGCUCAACGGAUAAAAGGUACUCCGGGGAUAACAGGCUGAUACCGCCCAAGAGUUCAUAUCGACGGCGGUGUUUGGCACCUCGAUGUCGGCUCAUCACAUCCUGGGGCUGAAGUAGGUCCCAAGGGUAUGGCUGUUCGCCAUUUAAAGUGGUACGCGAGCUGGGUUUAGAACGUCGUGAGACAGUUCGGUCCCUAUCUGCCGUGGGCGCUGGAGAACUGAGGGGGGCUGCUCCUAGUACGAGAGGACCGGAGUGGACGCAUCACUGGUGUUCGGGUUGUCAUGCCAAUGGCACUGCCCGGUAGCUAAAUGCGGAAGAGAUAAGUGCUGAAAGCAUCUAAGCACGAAACUUGCCCCGAGAUGAGUUCUCCCUGAGACUUAGAGUCUCCUGAAGGAACGUUGAAGACGACGACGUUGAUAGGCCGGGUGUGUAAGCGCAGCGAUGCGUUGAGCUAACCGGUACUAAUGAACCGUGAGGCUUAACCUUACAACGCCGAAG